UCCCUGGUGGCUUAGAGGGUAAAGCGUCUGCCUGCAAGGUGGGAAACCUUGGUUCAAGCCCUGGGUUGGGAA
rnacentral:tRNA from 1 species